rnacentral:sRNA from 1 species
GGGUGUACCCAGAGCCCUAAGCGGGAACCAUUUACAACAAAUAUUACAAGCAUCAUUCAUUUGUUUUUGUUUUGAACUGUUUUUGAGCUCAAGUUCGUUGACACUCGCCAAAAGGCAGAUAGAUCGGAGAGAGAGACCCCCAUUCGCAGACCAGCUGAUAGUGCCAUUUGAAUAUUUGUUGGCGGCUCUCUCGGCUGCUUAUCAGCCUUAGAUGUUUCGCUGGACUUCCAUACUUGACACUCGGGGUGUGGGGUGGGGUGUCCGACUCGCAUCGGGACUAAGGGAGAGCUCUGAUUACCCAAUUAACCCGGAAAUACAAUCAUAGCAAGGUCUGCUGCAAAAUGGCAAUGAAAUUAUAUGCCAAGUGCAGUCUAAAGAAUGCCGGACGCAGAGGAGGCCCCACACCGGAUGAUGGCCAAACCAUGAACUGAAAAUUGGGCGUGGGAUGGAGACGAAGACGAGGCAUGCGCAAAUCCGAAUCACGUGAUGUUUGGAACGAACGACCGACCGGCUGCUUGGCUGCCACAGGCAACAAGGGCCACGUAAACGAACCCCAGGAACAGAAACGUUGAGAAACGUGACGCUGCGGGCAGCGGAUACAGUGGGUAAGAAUAAAUCUUGCUUCGGAUUCUGUACACAUGCACAGAAUCGUACGAUUCUAUUUGUAUAUAUAUACAUAUGUAUGUUGUAUGGUCGUGUGCCAUUGUUUGUUUCUUUAAUGGAACCGACAGAGAGUGAGGAGAGUAAUAGGAUAAACAACAGAUAUAUGUAUAUAUGUUUAUAAAGCGUUCAGCGGAAACCACAAUUGAAGGAAGGAAAUUUUUGUCCGCUGAUAAAGCAAGGAAAAAAACUUGUUAUGGUAGGCCAUCCAUCCAUCUACGGACGACAUACACAUAGUAUUAUCGCCGUAGAAAGCGUCAUUCUCGAUAAAGCUAAACCGGUUUUGGCCUAUGCAUUGCUCUGAAAUUAAAAUGUUUAAUAGAGAUAGAGCCCGAAGUAAUAAUAAGAGUAGAAGAAAACAUGCAACGCGUUUCAAGUCAUUUAUAUAGUAGUGUUUGAAAGUGAGUCUAACGCUACCUAUGUACAUAUAUGUACAUAUCCUAUGUGUAUAUAAUAGAGAAUUAAUAUGUGCAGUCGUCGUACUACGAUCUUUCGGUUCUAAUUGACCUUGAACCUGAAAUAGACACAAUAUAGCGGACGACUUGGAUACUAGAAUAUUAUAUACACACAUAUGUACAUCCUGCCAUGCAAUCAGUAUAUGUACACAUGUAAUGCCUGUGAAAGUGCUUGCGUUGACCCACUGUACAUAUGUAUGUAUGUGUGCUCGCCCGACGGCCUGCCGUUGCCUUUCCCCCCACCAUCCCAUCCCUCCUAUCAAUAAAGUGACGCAAGAAAGCGACAGCGACUACCGUUAGUGGAUAAUUUUCCGUUUUCCAGGUACUAUACAAAUGCCAAAGGUUCUUGGAAUAGAAAAUCCACCUAUGUAUUACUACCCACUCCCUACCCCCUUCCACCACAAUAUACAUAUGACCAA